AUGUUUUUAAAAGGAUGUUGAAGGCAUCCGAGGGUUAUACUGUCUCCUUUUUCUAAUCAUGAAACUAAUCUUCCCGUGAAGAAGCGGGAAUAAUUUUAUAAGACGAGAAGACCCUAUGGAGCUUUAAAUAAACAACAAAUAUCUACUUAUCUAAAUUAAGAAAACCAAAAUUAUCAGAUAUAUGAUUGCUAGUUUUAGGUUGGGGUGACCAUGGAGAACAAUACAACCCCCAUGUCGAAAUGAUUUUAAAAUUAGCUGCGAGUAACAACUCCAGCAUCAACACCUUGACGUCAAUUGACCCAAUUUUUAUCAAGAACCAAGUUCCCUGAUACAGCGCAUCCACUUCAAGACUCAAUACUACGACCUCGAUGUUGGAUCAGGAUAUCCAGUGGUGCAGCCGCUACAAGGUUCGUUUGUU
rnacentral:rRNA from 1 species